rnacentral:rRNA from 1 species
AUUGAACGCUGGCGGCAGGCCUAACACAUGCAAGUCGAGCGGAUGAAGGGAGCUUGCUCCUGGAUUCAGCGGCGGACGGGUGGGUAAUGCCUAGGAAUCUGCCUGGUAGUGGGGGAUAACGUCCGGAAACGGGCGCUAAUACCGCAUACGUCCUGAGGGAGAAAGUGGGGGAUCUUCGGACCUCACUCUAUCAGAUGAGCCUAGGUCGGAUUAGCUAGUUGGUGGGGUAAAGGCCUACCAAGGCGACGAUCCGUAACUGGUCUGAGAGGAUGAUCAGUCACACUGGAACUGAGACACGGUCCAGACUCCUACGGGAGGCAGCAGUGGGGAAUAUUGGACAAUGGGCGAAAGCCUGAUCCAGACAUGCCGCAUGUGUGCAGAAGGUCUUCGGAUUGUAAAGCACUUUAAGUUGGGAGGAAGGGCAGUAAGUUCAUACCUUGCUGUUUUGACGUUACCAACAGAAUAAGCACCGGCUAACUUCGUG